rnacentral:rRNA from 1 species
CCUGAGAAACCCAAAAGAUCGAAUGGGGAGAUUCAUCGUCAGCUCAUUCUGUAUAUAUGCAGGUUGUGAUAUGGGUUACCGCUUGUGUGCCACUUGUGGUAUCUGGCUGGUAUUGCUUGUACACUCUUGUAUAUUUUUCUUGCAGAAUGUGGUCGGCGUGCACUUCUCCCCUAGUAGAACGUCGCGACCCGUUGAGUUUAAUUAUAUUUUGUAAGUCUACGGCCCAAGUGAUAGUUUUUGAUAUUCAGUUUAUUCGGUUUAUUGAAAAUCCUUGGUGUUUUCCUGACUUACACUCGGCGGUAUUCGUACGGUAUUAAGCCGCAUUAAUUUAUUAUAUGCGUCCUGUCCUACACAAGCGAGGCUAGUUUUUAAAAACUGACAGUACGGACCUAGUGCCGUCGUUGGUUCUGGCCAGCUGUUCGUUGUAUGGUACUCUAGGACUGGCUUAAAAUAUAUAUAAUAUACCGGUCAGCGAUGCUACUGCUUUGGG